UGGAGAAUACAUGCGGCUUGUCCUAAGCU
rnacentral:piRNA from 1 species